ensembl:snRNA U6 U6 spliceosomal RNA
GUGUUUGCUUUGGAAGUACAUAUACUAAAAUUGGAACAAUACAGAGAUCAGCAUGGCCCCUGAACAAAAAUGACAUGAAAAUUCAUAAAGUGUUCCAUAUUUAA